UCAAGCUACAAAGAGCGCAAGGGGAAUGCCUUGGCACUGAGAGCCGAUGAAGGACGCAGCAAACUGCGAAAAGCUUCGGGGAGCCGUAAGCAGGCUUUGAUCCGGAGACAUCCGAAUGGAGCAAUCCGGCUGGAGUCAUAUCCAGUCACUGUACAGUCAAUACAUAGCUGUACAGGGGGAACCGCCUGAACUGAAACAUCUAAGUAGGGCGAGGAAGAGACAUCAAAAUGAGAUUCUGCUAGUAGUGGCGAGCGAACGCGGAAGAGGCCAAACCGCAGGUAGCAAUACUUGCGGGGUUCGGACAGCAAUACGCAUGUGAAACCUUAGCUGAAUGGUCUGGGAAGGCCAGUCAAAGAGUGUGAGAGCCACGUAAGUGAAAAGGGGAAACAGCCAGCUGGAUCCAGAGUACCGCCGGACACGAGAAAUCCGGUGGGAAGAUGGGGGGACCACCCUCCAAGCCUAAAUACUACUCAGUGACCGAUAGAGAAUAGUACUGUGAAGGAAAGGUGAAAAGCACCCCGGGAGGGGAGUGAAAUAGAACCUGAAACCUUGUGCUUACAAGCACCGAAAGCCCGUCAAAGGGUGAUCGGGUACCUUUUGUAGAAUGGUCCGGCGAGUAAAUGUAACUGGCAAGGUUAAGGACUUUAGGUCCGGAGCCGUAGCGAGAGCAAGUCUGAAUAGGGCGUAUGAAGUCAGUUGUAUUUGACCCGAAACCGGGUGACCUACCCAUGUCCAGGUUGAAGUGGAGGUAAAACUCCAUGGAGGACCGAACCGACUCCCGUUGAAAUGGUAGCGGAUGAGAUGUGGGUAGCGGAGAAAUUCCAAUCGAACCCGGAGAUAGCUGGUUCUCUCCGAAAUAGCUUUAGGGCUAGCCUUGUAUUAGAUUACCGGAGGUAAAGCACUGAAUGGUUAAGGGACCGAAAGGUUACCAAGACCUAUCAAACUCUGAAUGCCGGAUAAUUGAUGUACAGGAGUCAGACGGCGGGAGAUAAGUUUCGUCGUCAAAAGGGAAACAGCCCAGACCCACAGCUAAGGUCCCAAAACACGGUUAAGUGGAAAAGGAUGUGGGGUUGCACAGACAACCAGGAUGUUGGCUCAGAAGCAGCCAUACAUUAAAAGAGUGCGUAAUAGCUCACUGGUCGAGUGACCCUGCGCCGAAAAUUUAACGGGGCUAAAUCGUGUACCGAAGCUUGGGAUGCAGCAAUGCAUGGUAGGAGAGCGUUCUGUACGGGGCGAAAUGAGAGCGAAAGCGCUUGUGGACUGUACAGAAGUGAGAAUGCCGGAAUGAGUAGCGAGAAAUGUGUGAGAAUCAUAUUGGCCGAAAAUCUAAGGUUUCUGGAGGAAGGUUCGUCCGCUCCAGGUAAGCCGGGAGCUAAGGCGAGGCCGAAAGGCGUAGUCGAUGCACAUACGGUGGAUAAUCCGUAGCCGCCAAAAGAUUUAAGAUAAGUGACACCUGAGAAGUCUAUAACCCGGGCGAUGGUUGCCCCGGGCGUAAGGGACCGAAAUUAGAGUAGGGAAGUAUAGAUGGAACAGGGCAAGAAAAGCUUAUUGGUAUAUCUGAGGCGCCCGUACCGCAAACCGACACAGGUAGAUAGGAAGAGAAUUCUAAGGCCAACGGGAGAAGGGUAGUUAAGGAACUCGGCAAAUUGGCCCCGUAACUUCGGAAUAAGGGGCGCCCACGCAAGUGGGCCGCAGUGAAAAGGCUCAGGCGACUGUUUAUCAAAAACACAGGUUUCUGCAAAAUCGAAAGAUGACGUAUAGGAGCUGACACCUGCCCGGUGCUGGAAGGUUAAGAGGAGAUGUGCAAGCAUUGAAUUGAAGCCCCAGUAAACGGCGGCCGUAACUAUAACGGUCCUAAGGUAGCGAAAUUCCUUGUCGGGUAAG
rnacentral:rRNA from 1 species